rnacentral:lncRNA from 1 species
CAAGUUUGAUAGAUAAAUAGUCUGCAGGUUGUAGCAUUUAGAAGGGCUUCAAGUACAUGAUCAUGCAUGCAACAUAAGAGAAAUUUAGAUAUGUAAUUCCUAGUAAUGGGCAUGAUGUGCUGUGCUAGAUAUCAUAUAUAGACAGGUGUCGCAAACUUGUGGUAUUAAUUCAGUCUGGAGAACAUGGUUCUAAAAGUCGUCAAUUAUAUAGGCCAUUAUUUUGUUGUCCUUGAGAUAAAUUUAAUAUUAUUUUGUGAGUAUGGUGUAUUUAUUAAAAUUACAUUUGUUUCACAACUUAGUAUAUUUUUUUGGUUAUUUUAUAUUAGAGUAAAUUAGUAAUUUAAUAAAUAGUUUGGUAAUAUAGUGUACUCAGUUAAUUUUAGGGUUCAUCACUCUUUUUUUUUUUUUUUUUUUAAUUUAUAAUCAAGAGAUACUUCAUUGAAAGCCCAAAAAGGCGAAGAAAAAAACAAGAGGGGUCAUGAAGGCACACUCAAGGCAAAGCUAGCAAGGUGUAAACAGGAGCUUUCUCAUCAUAGGCUAAACAAAAAUGAAACUAUUACAAAAGGAAUUAAACUGGAGGGCAUGGCAGCCCAUCAAAAUUCAGUUUCUUUAGAGCUAUCCGUAGUGGAUAGGUUCAGAGCAUUAUGUUUGGAGGGAGGAAGACAAUUCAUAUGAGGAAAUUGAAGGAUUGGAAGGAGGAAUAACACAAAGAUAGAAUAGGCCAUGUUCUGUGUAAUCAGAUAGUCGAAGAAAAGGAUCGAGUGUAUCGUGCUCGAAGGGGACAAAUUGCUCCCCUUGCAUGUCUAUGUAAGCUUGUAUAGGACAUCACAGUCAUUGAACGAAUCUUGAACUCAUGUUUGCAGACAUAGAGAUUAAUACAAACUUAUCCAGUAAACUCAUACAGAUGUGAAUAAAGAAUCCUUAUGAGUUUAGGAAUCCUAAUCCUAUUAAUAUUGACAUAAGUGCACGGAUGUUAGGUAUACAAGUUAUAUUCUAAUUGGGUUUCUAAUGAGAGAAUCCAAUCAGAUUUUCACCAGCUAACAGUAUUAAUACAGAGGUCCUUGCCUUCGCAAACAUGCGC